GACCCGAAAGAUGGUGAACUAUGCCCGGGUAAGGUGAAGCCAGUGGAAACGCUGGUGGAAGCCUGUAGCGGUUCUGACGUGCAGAUCGAUCGUGUAACCUGGGUAUAGGGGCGAAAGACCUAACGAACCGUCUAAUGGCUGGUUCCCCCCGAAGUUUCCCUCAGGAUAGCUGUGUCUAAGUAGUGCCAGUUGCACGCGGUAAAGCGAAUGAUUAGGUGUCUCGGGACCUUAUUGGUCUCGGCUCAUUCUCAAACUGUGAAUAGUGUGCGUCCACACGUGACUUAUCAGCACGUUGGGUUAAUGGCCAGAUGCAAGUGGGCUGGUUUUGGUAAGCAGAACUGGCGAUGUGGGAUCAACCAAACGUCAUGUUAAGGUGCCCAACUGCAUGCUAACGGAUUACACAAAAGGUGUUGGGUGGUGAUGACAGCAGGACGGUGGCCAUGGAAGUCGGCAUCCGCUAAGA
rnacentral:rRNA from 1 species